CCUACGGGAGGCAGCAGUGAGGAAUAUUGGUCAAUGGCCGAGAGGCUGAACCAGCCAAGUCGCGUGAGGGAAGACGGCCCUACGGGUUGUAAACCUCUUUUGUCGGGGAGCAAAGCGAACCACGUGUGGUUCAUUGAGAGUACCCGAAGAAAAAGCAUCGGCUAACUCCGUGCCAGCAGCCGCGGUAAUACGGAGGAUGCGAGCGUUAUUCGGAUUUAUUGGGUUUAAAGGGUGCGUAGGCGGACUGGAAAGUCAGCGGUAAAAUCGAGAGGCUCAACCUCUUUCCGCCGUUGAAACGGUCGGUCGUGAGUGGGCGAGAAGUAUGCGGAAUGCGUGGUGUAGCGGUGAAAUGCAUAGAUAUCACGCAGAACUCCGAUUGCGAAGGCAGCAUACCGGCGCCCGACUGACGCUGAGGCACGAAAGCGUGGGUAUCGAACAGGAUUAGAUACCCCAGUAGUC
rnacentral:rRNA from 1 species